rnacentral:rRNA from 1 species
GACGAACGCUGGCGGCGUGCCUAAUACAUGCAAGUCGAACGCAGUGGGGACGGGUGAGUAACACGUGGGUAACCUCCCAUCAGAGGGGAUAACACUUGGAAACAGGUGCUAAACCGAUACUGAUGGAUGGACCCGCGGUGGAUUAGCUAGUUGGUGAGGUAACGGCUCACCAAGGCCACGCUGCAUAUCCGGCCUGGGAGGGUGAGCGGCCACACUGGGACUGAGACACGGCCCAGACUCCUACGGGAGGCAGCAGUAGGGAAUAUUCGGCAAUGGACGAAAGUCUGACCGAGCAACGCCGCGUGUGUGAAGAAGGUUUUCGGAUCGUAAAUCACUGUUGUUAGAGAAGCGUUAUCUAACCAGAAAGCCACGGCUAACUACGUGCCAGCAGCCGCGGUAAUUC